UACGAAGGGUGCAAGCGUUAAUCGGAAUUACUGGGCGUAAAGCGUGCGUAGGCGGUUUCUUAAGUCUGCUGUGAAAGCCCCGGGCUCAACCUGGGAAUGGCGGUGGAUACUGGGAAGCUGGAGUACGGUAGAGGAGGGUGGAAUUCCCGGUGUAGCGGUGAAAUGCGUAGAGAUCGGGAGGAACAUCAGUGGCGAAGGCGGCCUUCUGGACCAGUACUGACGCUGAGGCACGAAAGCGUGGGGAGCAAACAGG
rnacentral:rRNA from 1 species